CUUUGCUGCUGCACCCAUUGGCUCCCCGGAGGCGCCUGCGCACUAAGCACUUCAGAGUGCUUUCCCUCCGGCUUGGCUGAGCCGUUGCCCAGGCAACUGAGGGGCUUGUUCACCUGUAACAGCUUGUAACUCAUCUAAAAAAGCGUAGGGUUAUCUAAUUCAGGGUCUAACUCGGAUCUUGUAUCUCCACACCAGCUCUAAGUAUUGUAAACUCUGGUAACUGUUGUUUGGUCAGGUGGUCUUUGGUUUCUAUCCUCCCAUACUUGAGAAAUAGCAAAAUAUUAGUUUAGGAAGGGCUAGGAAGUGAGGGUGUUUAUUCAAGGUCAUUGAACCCUUUCAAAGGCUAAGGCGUCUUUAAUGAAAGUAAUGUAUACUCAGGUGAGUGCUCCAGAUACCAUGCUGAAAGCUAGCUGGGGAAAAAAGAGGUCCUACCUGCACCGGGCUUACACAUUGUGUGAGAAAGGCAUGUAGGAGAAAAUAAUCCCGAUUCUGGCUGAAUGCCAUGAACAUAGAUAGGGAACAGCACCGGAACAGAGUUUUAGUUUGCUAUGGCUAUUGUAAGAAGUUAUCACCAAGUGGCUUGAGAAUGAAAGAAAUUUAUUCUCUUAUAGUUCAGAAACUUGGAAAUAACAAAACGAAGGAGUCAGCGGGUCUGCCCUCCAUCUGGAGGCCUGAGGAAAAUCCUAUCCAUAAUUGUCAUCCUUUGACUACAGCUCACCAGUCCUGUCACCCUCCCUCUCCCCUAUGUGUCAACUUUGUAGUCUCUAAUGGGAAUACAUGUAAAGACAGGAAAAUCCUUUAUUAGUUAUUUUUUCCAUUGCUGUCACAAAAUACCUGACAAAGAAAGUCAAGGAAGGAGAGUAAUUCUGUAUGGCAAGUAUAAUUAACCUGUAAGACCCUCCUCCCCUGGGGACCAGGUAACCUCGGGAUGCUGGGAGUUGUAGUUCUUUAAAUGUAAGGACGGUUUCAUGGAAAAGUACUGUGAUCUAUAUAGGUUGGUCGUUAAAAACUUUUGCAACACCUGUCUCAGAGCCACUCACUAGGGAAAUUCCAGGUAUUGGUCCUGACCAGAAUCCAUCUCUUGGACAGUUUUGAAUAUCUAAUAAAGCUUGGGUCAAACUCGGCCCAAAAUGGCAGACUUGCUUUUUCUGCAGCAAAUCUCCAGAUUAACACAAGAACGGCAUGGUAACAGAAGCGUGAGGUUACAUUCCAUAGUCAGAACGCAGAGACGAAUACUGAUCAGGUCUUUCUCCAUUUUAUUUAGUCUUGGAUCGGAGCCCCUGGGGUGGUACCACCCAUGAUCAGGGUGGAUCUUUCUUGGUCAAACCUCUCUGGAAACAGCUUCAGACAGUGUUGAGAGGCCUGUCCCUCUGGUGAUCCUGAAUCCAGCCACAGAGGCCAUUUGUAUAGUUCAAACAAACUUUAGUCAGCAUUGAUCACCUCCCUUUGACUACCUCCCUGAUUCAUAGUCAGAGAACACUUCUAUUUCAUAGAUGCUUAUAUGGGUCCAUGGAAAAGUCAGUGCAUCUGUUGUCCCAGAUCUGGAGGAGGCAGAGAAUGGAGACAGGGUGAUCUCUGAAACGCAUUGGCCAGCCAGUCUGGUGAAAUUGGUGAGCUCCAGGUUCGGUCCACACCCUGACCAAAAUAAAAUGAAGAGUGAUGGAGAAAGAUACUUGAUGUCAACUUCUGCUCCCCACACAGAUCCACAAGUACAUGUGCACACACCAAAUGAACAUGUACAUAUGUCACAUGUAACACACACACACAGACACACACACAGACACAGACACACACAGACACAGACACACACAGACACAGACACACACACACACACACACACACACACACACACACACACAAAGUAAAAGUGAUUCCAACCACACCAGUUUUCUGCUUCUCAUCCUUUUAUGACUACAGAGCCUGUGUUGGUGCUGUAAAAUUGAACCCCUACCUCUGCUCCAAUUCCAGCCUACCUAUUUACCAACUCUGCUCUCCUUCCCAGCACACUGAGUACUUUUUAAAGUUCAUGUUUAUGUUUGGCACGUUCCGUUUCAUUGCAAGCCUUCAUAGUUAAGAGUUUACUUAUUAAGGACAAAUUAAUAAUCCCAAUUAAAAAUCAACUUACUAAUUUAUUUGUGUGUGUGUGUGUAUGUGUGUUUGUGCACACAUACACACACAUACACAUGCAUGGAUGUUACAGGACAACCUGAAUGAAUCAGUUCUCUUCUUCAACCACAUGCAUCUCAGGGGUUGAAGUUGUGGUAAGCACUUAUGCCUAUGGCUCUAUAUUUUUGGAACAGUAACUUCAAUUUUUAUUAAAAACAUUGCGACAGAGCCAAACAUGAUAAUCACUGUAUAUCUGAGUGUUUCUAACGUAGUUUUGUUUUUAUUACUUAUUUAUCUUUGUUUGGUGCUGUAAGAACAAAGGAUCACUUGCUGUCAGGCCAAAGACCAGCUCCUAACCCUCUGAGCUCCUAGCCAAUUAAAGACAUUGCUAGUUGUAUUUUCAUUUGCAAGUUUGGUAUAGGCCUAUUCAGACAAUGGCUAAAUCUGAAAGCUGCCACACUUAGAUCAGCCUGACAUAAUCUGAGAGUUGGCCUUAACACUCACAGUGGUGGUUGUCUAUAAAGCUCUAUAUAGUUCUUUAAAGAUAUGAGCAUAAAACCGGAGAUGGGACAAAGUCCAAUCUUAUAAUAGCAAUUGCUCUUCUUUAGUUUGGAUGAACGCUAGCUGUGUGCAAAAUCUUGGAUUUGAGUAUGCCUUCAAGAACAUCUACCAGAACUGUGAGAGAGAGAGAGAGAGAGAAAGAAAAAGCCAGCCUUCUCAAAUAACUUGGCUUAAAACAAGCUAUUUAUGUGUAUUAUAAAAGACAGUGAAACUGUUUCUUUAAUUGCUAUAAUUUUUUAAGAAGUCAGUACAUUUAGUAAUUGCAUUAAAUUGCUUAACUUAAUUUGACAACAUUAAGAAUUAGUCACUUUACAAGCUUUAAAAUGUUCAUUUUUGUUCUCUGAAGAAAGUAAUUUUGUGGAAUAUUAAUAUUAUUAAAGGAUAUGGGAAGGCAUUUAAAACAGAAUAGCCUAGAAACAGCUGUUCAAGGUGGCAGAAUCUUUGUUUGCCAAAGUAGCUAUUUAAGUUAAAUGUCUGUGAUUCUCUAUUUGGAAAGUAGCUACUCUUUGAACUAAGAGUAUACUGCUUCUACCACAAUCUAGUUAUGGUUUAUAUUUUGGCUUACAAUCUAUUCACCGUAAAGAGAAUAAAACCAGUAGUUUGGUUAUCAGAAUUUGUUAUGCUUUCCAAUGACAUUAGAAUGCUUAAAACUUGAGAAGUUUAUAUUUUUUCCACGUUGUGAUUGACUUUAGGAGUUAUAAUCAUGCUAAGCCUAUAAAAUUGUUUGAACCGUGUCUGUUCUGUGGUCCUAAGCAAGUUGUUAUUGAGAAAAGUUACUGAUAUCCAAGGUGUGUGUCUGACUAGUGGUCUGACCUGUUCUUUGACUAGAAGGUACAGCAUCACAGAGCUUUUGAUGUUUGUACUGUUUUUAGGGUUCUUUUUCAAGUGGUUCUGUUCAGUAAGAUUGAUGGAGACUGUUUCCUAACUUAAGAUAACCAAGGAUUCCAAGAGUUAUGCAGAAACUCGUGAUUCCCAGACCCAGCUGCUGCCUGAAGGCUGUCUUAGACAACGGCAUUAUUCUAGCCGUUGAAUGUUAAAGUAUGGAUACUUUCCUAAAGUAGUUUAUGGAAUAUCAUACAUUUAGGCUUAAGAAAAUGAAUAUACUUACAAAAUGCAUUUUAGAAAAAGAUUAAAUUAAUUGAAUGUAUAUAGGUAUUGAGGAAACUGUGGGGUCCUUUAUGAAGAAGAAGAGUUCAUACUGAGUAGCCAAAAGCAGAUAAAUAUCCACGGUCACAACAAAAAAUUUAAAAUCUCAUAUUUAGGCAGAAACAAUGAGGGAGAACACCUUCAAACACCCACAAUCAAACACUCCUUUGUUGGCUCCAUUGUCAUUCUGGUAAAGUAAGAAAGAAUGUAGGAGCCAUGAGGCCGGCUGCCUUUCAUCCUGCUCUGGUGUGAAAUCACAUACCACCAGACAGGCCUGCACUUCCUAGUCUACUCAUGUCACAAUACCAAUUCCCUGUAGUGUCAGUCGUGACACUGGGUGCCUUGGCGUGGGAGGCAGCUAUGCGUGAGCCAGUGCAGUGGAAUGUUUACAGGUCCCAGUGACAGGAAUUCUGAAGAGUUUCUGACCCUACGGUACCACGAAGCCAGACAACAGGCCCCUUCUCAACGCAGCUCCUGACUACAACGGACUCAGGGCUGCUAAGAGAUCAUGCCAUUCCUUUUCCAAAGCCAGGCUGCACACAGAUUUUAAUUUACUUGUCUAAUUGAACUAGCAUCGCCGAUAUCUAUGGUGACAAUUUCUGAGAACAUUUUCUUUCUCCUUCACCUUUGCAAAGGGGGAGACUGUCCCUUUCCGUUAUGUGGAAGUUUAUUUUAUUCUGAAUCCAAACAUUACUUCCAGGAGGGAGGGGGAUGACGCUCACGAGCCUAAAGGAGGAAAACAAAAGGUCACGUGUCUUCAGGAACCGAAACUUGGGAUGCUCAACUGUCUUUCUCCAGAAGUAUAGAAAGGAAUAAACACGUCCUAGAGGGGAGACCCUAACCAGUCCAAUUACCGAGAGGGGAUUUCUCAGACCGUUGAGCUACCUGCAAACUGCACAGAGGAGUUCGCAGCUUUUGUGAGGCACGGUUGGGCUCCUCAGCGAAGCAGCUGGGAUAACUCAUCUGUUACUGUCAGAGCUUUUCGGAGUAUGUUCUAGUCAUAUUUACACCUUGUAGCAAUAAGCUUGCUGCUCUUCCAAGGUGAAAUUGUGCGUUAACUAACCAAGUUGAACAAAAGAAUUUGAGCCUUUGAGUAUUUUUUUAUUACUAUCUCCUUAUUCCCAGUAUACUUCUCGGCAGAAACAAGUUCCUUCAGUGUGCUGGACAUGGAACCCAGCUCUCUUAGCUACGUGGCGCCGUGCGUAGCUGAACGUCCUUCAGUUCCAGGACUGGCACUUCUCUCAUCCACACGAAGCUGUUCUAUCUUUUCCUACUACUGUCUAAUCGGGAGUGUUUCUGCAGGAACAGUUCCUGACGUGUCUGAAAUCAGCCAUCCGAAAGCUGCUGAAAGCGAAUGCUGUGUUAGGUGCAGAUGCCACAGUCCCCUGUAACGCAAAAAAAAAAAAAAAAAAAAAAAAAAAAGCUAAAA